rnacentral:lncRNA from 1 species
CAGCCUUCCUCCUGAUUGCUGCAGUAUUGGGAUGGGGGAAGGGUGCUUUGGUCUUCCCUUACCAGAUCACUGGUGACAGCAGUUCAUCCCAGGCAGCUAACUGCUCCAUGCUGCAAGUGACCCUUUUGUCUGUUCCAGGAUUAAAAAACAGCAAACGACAACAACAAAUCCAAAACGAUGACAACUGUAACUAUGCUUAAUUAUUCCAUCCUCUUUUAAACAAUUGAUGUAAUAGAAAACCUAGAUUUGAGUUUCUGUUCCUCCAGUCCCUGGCCGUGUGACUUUGGCUAAGUGGCCUCCUCUCUCCCAGCCUCUGCUUCUCCUGCAGUCAAGCAGGGAGGUUAAUGGAUGUCUUAUAAGGCCAGCUGUGGACCUGCCUUAGCGAAUUUGGCCUCAUAGUACAAGUUGGUCUCUGCAGCGAAGACUGCUAAGAGAUUGUGAGCAGGGAUCUUGAACUUUUAUUUACCACUGUGUGCCCAAAGCCUAGCAUGAUGGAAAGUACAUAGU